ACACCGAUGGUGAAGCGGUUAUCAUGCUUGCCUUCCAGAGAUCUCAUUAGCAAGCGGCAGGGGUUCGACUCCCCUUCGGUGUA